rnacentral:lncRNA from 1 species
AUAUGAUGCUUAUCAUUACUUAUAAACUGCAGUUUUCACUAAAGAAAUAGGGAUAACAUUACAAAGCAUUAAGAAAUAACUCUUACCAAGUCAGAACCACACCAAUGGCAAAAGCACAUGAUCACAAACCGCUAAAUAUUGGACAAAGACCAAAACCCUGAGCAUGGGAGAGGCUGAAAGCACAAUGAAAAACACUUCAAGUUAAGGAUGAGUGAAAGAAGCUGACGUGGAAGCCAGGGAUACUAAUGGCAGGCAUUAUUUUCCAGAAAGGUCCUGGGUAAGAGGUCAUUGUUCUGUAUCACGCUGAGUUUUUACUGCAAGAAACCUAUGAAAAGUACCCAUUACUAAUAGCACUCAGAACUUGACUCCCAACAAUUCCAAAACAUACACAUUCUGAAUUUCAGCCACCAAAACAGAGAGAAAGAUGAUUUCAUUUCAAAUAUAAAGUCCUGGGGAAGAACUGUGGUUGGUCCAGCUUGAGUCAGAUGCCCAUCCUUGGACAAAUCAACAGUGACCAAAAGCAAAGGUGAUCUACCCCAACCAGACAAAGCUGUGUGCCAUUUCCAAGAUGUUGCUGGCACUCGAACUUUCACUCAAGGUGUCUUACAUACCUUCUCCUCACUCUCAUUCAGAAUGUGCUUCCACAUUCUAUGCGCUCAGACUUCAAAAUCUCACCAACUUCAACAUCCAGGAGAAUAGAAGAGAUGGAAAUAAAGGAGGCAAGAAUGGUUUACAGAUCCAGCUGAAACCGAAUGGAAGGAAAGGCAGUGGAUUUCAUCAAGAUCCUACAGACAAGGUGUAAGAUCUGUAAUUUCGAAAGGACAUAUACACAAACUCAUUCAGCCACAUUCCAGUCUAGAAUUAACAUGAAGAAAAUCUAUUAACAAUGGUAAAGCUUUUUUCCUCUCCAAAUGAAUAUGGCAAUACCCAUUCUGGAGAACUCUUAUUCUCUGUUGAAAUAACACCACUUUUCUAUAUGGCCAUCUAGCAAUAAAUAUAAAAAUGGUUAAUUUGCA